ACGGCGAGUGAAGAGGGAAAAGCCCAAAUUUGUAAUCUGGCUCUUUUUAUAAGGGUCCGAGUUGUAAUUUUGAGAACUGUUUUCCGUGCUGGACCAUGUACAAGUCUGUUGAAAAACAGCAUCAUUGAGGGUGAUAAUCCCGUAUAUGAUAUGGACUACCAGGGCAAUGUGAUACAGUCUCUAAGAGUCGAGUUGUUUGGGAAUGCAGCUCAAAGUGGGUGGUAAAUUCCAUCUAAGGCUAAAUAUAGGUGAGAGACCGAUAGCAAACAAGUACCGUGAGGGAAAGAUGAAAAGAACUUUGGAAAGAGAGUUAACAGUACGUGAAAUUGUUAAAAGGGAAACAUUUGAAGUUAGACUUGUUAUUGUUGGUUCAGCUCUUUUUUUAAGGGUGUAUUCCGAUGGUUAACAGACCAGCAUCAAUUUUUGGGUGUUAGAUAAGGGUCUUGAGAAUGUAGCAGCUUCGGUUGUGUUAUAGAUCUUGACUUGAUAUAAUGCUUAGGAUUGAGGAACGCAGUGAGC
rnacentral:rRNA from 1 species